CCUACGGGAGGCAGCAGUAGGGAAUUUUCGGCAAUGGGGGGAACCCUGACCGAGCAACGCCGCGUGAAGGAAGAAGGAAUUCGGUCUUUAAACUUCUUUUAUAAUGGAAGCAAGACGGAUGGAGGAAAUGACAUCCGAGUUACGGUACUUUAUGAGAAAGCCACGGCUAACUCCGUGCCAGCAGCCGCUGUAAUACGUAGGUGGCAAGCGUUAUCCGGAUUUAUUGGGGGUAAAGAGGGAGCAGGCGGCAGCAAAGGUCUGUGGUGAAAGUCUGAAGCUUAACUUCAGUAAGCCAUAGAAACCGGGCAGCUAGAGUGCAGGAGAGGAUUGUGGAAUGCGAUGUGUAGCGGUGAAAUGCGUAGAUAUAUGGAGGAACACCAGUGGCGAAGGCGACGAUCUGGCCUGCAACUGACGCUCAGUCACGAAAGCGUGGGGAGCGAAUAGGAUUAGAUACCCGAGUAGUC
rnacentral:rRNA from 1 species